UUUUCUCAGGGAAGAAGACCUGACGGUACUUGAGGAAUAAGCCACGGCUAAUUCCGUGCCAGCAGCCGCGGUAAUACGGGAGUGGCAAGCGUUAUCCGGAAUUAUUGGGCGUAAAGCGUCCGCAGGCGGCCCUGUAAGUCUGUCGUUAAAGCGUGGAGCUUAACUCCAUUUAAGCGAUGGAAACUACAGGGCUUGAGUGUGGUAGGGGCAGAGGGAAUUCCCGGUGUAGCGGUGAAAUGCGUAGAUAUCGGGAAGAACACCAGUGGCGAAGGCGCUCUGCUGGGCCAUAACUGACGCUCAUGGACGAAAGCCAGGGGAGCGAAAGGGAUUAGAUACCCCUGUAGUCCUGGCCGUAAACGAUGAACACUAGGUGUCGGGGGAAUCGACCCCCUCGGUGUCGUAGCCAACGCGUUAAGUGUUCCGCCUGGGGAGUACGCACGCAAGUGUGAAACUCAAAGGAAUUGACGGGGGCCCGCACAAGCGGUGGAGUAUGUGGUUUAAUUCGAUGCAACGCGAAGAACCUUACCAGGGUUUGACAUCCUGCGAACCCCCUGGAAACGGGGGGGUGCCUUCGGGAACGCAGUGACAGGUGGUGCAUGGCUGUCGUCAGCUCGUGUCGUGAGAUGUUGGGUUAAGUCCCGCAACGAGCGCAACCCACGUCGUUAGUUGCCAGCAUUCAGUUGGGCACUCUAGCGAGACCGCCGGUGAUAAACCGGAGGAAGGUGUGGAUGACGUCAAGUCAUCAUGCCCCUUACAUCCUGGGCUACACACGUACUACAAUGCUACGGACAAAGGGCCGCAAGCUCGCGAGAGUUAGCAAAUCCCAUAAACCGUGGCUCAGUUCAGAUCGUAGGCUGCAACUCGCCUACGUGAAGGAGGAAUCGCUAGUAAUCGCAGGUCAGCAUACUGCGGUGAAUACGUUCCCGGGCCUUGUACACACCGCCCGUCACACCAUGG
rnacentral:rRNA from 1 species